rnacentral:misc_RNA from 1 species
GAUGAAGAACGUAGCGAAAUGCGAUAAGUAAUGUGAAUUGCAGAAUUCCGUGAAUCAUCGAAUCUUUGAACGCACAUUGCGCCCGCCAGUAUUCUGGCGGGCAUGCCUGUUCGAGCGUCAUUUCAACCCUCAAGCCCCCGGGCUUGGUGUUGGGGAUCGGCGUGCCCUCGCGGCGCGCCGUCCCCUAAAUCUAGUGGCGGUCUCGCUGUAGCUUCCUCUGCGUAGUAGCAACACUCGCACUGGAUCGCAGCGCGGCCACGCCGUUAAACCCCCCACUUCUGAAAGUUUGACCUCGGAUCAGGUAGGAAUACCCGCUGAACUUAAGCAUAUCAAUAAGCGGAGGA